UACAAAUCCAAGAUCCAUGAACCCUUUUACUUCUUCCAGUUCCAAGUCUUUCAAGCUCCUACAACUCGUGGAUUUUUGCAGUUUGCAUUGAUGGUUAAUCCUCUGAUGUUUAUGAGUCGAUUGAGAUGGAGAAUGUGAACGACUAAGAUGAUAAAGAGAGGCUUGAAGAUGAUGAGCUUGUAGUGGUAGAUUCUGAGAGGGGCUGCUUUGGUUCGAGGGGGAAAUAUGGUGAAAAGGGGUCUGGGACAAGAAUAAUCUGUUGAAACCAGAGACGAUCCAUGGCUCCUACGAGACAUAAAGAGAGGUUAUUAGCCAUUGAGAAAAAAGGGGGAGGGGGGGGGGGAUACAUAGAGGGAGAGAGGGUUAUUUAUCAGCAUCAGUUUAGGGGUUGUAUGGUGUUGAAAGAAUAAGGAAAAGCAUUGGAAUAUAGAAGUGGUGGAACCUUUGGGCAGUGGAAGAUGUGGUGAUGGCCAUGGAUUCAUCCAACUCCACAUCUUUUCACAAGAGACCCAUAUACAUGAUGUGGAUACUAUUUGUUGCAGUCAUGUUGAUUCUCUAUGUCAUAAUAGUGGACCACCAAGGGGGACUCUGAACCAACCCGGGACAAGCAGGUGGUAUCAACUCUCGUAAUCGCCCAUUGUCAAAUAUAAUCUGCUUUCUAAUUGAAGCUCCAGUCAGGACAAAUCAUGGACAGUGAACCGAAAUAAUCCAGCAACUCAUAACUCACGACUCACAAACGUCUCUUUAAACAUUGCAAUAUCCGCUUUAUGUUAGCUUGAAGAUUAUAUCUUCUAUACACACACAAAUAAUUAACGUAAAUUAUUUUAAUAUUAAUUUAAUAUGUAAUUUUAUACAUGAACUUCGAUUUUAUAUAUAAACUUUGAUUUUGUAUAA